CCGUGGCGCUUCCAUUCCGAGGCCGCUCACUUCGAGGAAGCUGCCCGGCUCGAGCACCUUUUCCUCAAAACUACGCUUUAAUUUGUCCGCCCGCGCCUUUCGGCACAUAGUCUCGUCCCCGCCUUCCAGAUAGCCUUCCGGCUUUUUUCUUUCUGCAUUUUCCCCCUGAUUUUCUUUUUUCUUCUGUCGCCACACUCCCCGCAUCGAUUGAUCUCUCUCGACCGGGUCCGACGCCACCACCGUUGCUGCCGUCACUGCCGCCAUAUUCCUCCCGCUCGAAAACCAAACGAAGAACUCUACACCUGGCUAUGGAAGACGGUGUCAAGAAGAAGAUCAUGCAUAAUAGUUAGCCUACUGUACCAGUUUCCACUUAACUUCGUUCAUGGAAAUGUGCAGAAUAAACAUUCAGAGGCCUCACAUUAUCGCCACCAGUGCAAGGAAUACAAAUUCCUCGGCUUCCGAUUCUUGUAUUCUCGUGCUUUUUUAUUUAUUCUCUUUCCCUGGAAAGGUAAAUGUAGACAGGGUAAAAUAAUAAACAUUGUGAGGAUGAA